CCUACGGGAGGCAGCAGUGAGGAAUAUUGGUCAAUGGACGAGAGUCUGAACCAGCCAAGUAGCGUGAAGGAUGACUGCCCUAUGGGUUGUAAACUUCUUUUAUAUGGGAAUAAAAUGUUCCACGUGUGGGCUUUUGUAUGGACCAUAUGAAUAAGGAUCGGCUAACUCCGUGCCAGCAGCCGCGGUAAUACGGAGGAUCCGGGCGUUAUCCGGAUUUAUUGGGUUUAAAGGGAGCGUAGGUGGAUUGUUCAGGCAGUUGUGAAAGUUUGCGGCUCAACCGUAAAAUUGCAGUUGAAACUGGCAGUCUUGAGUAGAGUAGAGGUGGGCGGAAUUCGUGGUGUAGCGGUGAAAUGCUUAGAUAUCACGAAGAACUCCGAUUGCGAAGGCAGCUCACUGGACUGCAACUGACACUGAGGCUCGAAAGUGUGGGUAUCAAACAGGAUUAGAUACCCUGGUAGUC
rnacentral:rRNA from 1 species